UACGUAGGUGGCAAGCGUUGUCCGGAAUUACUGGGUGUAAAGGGCGCGUAGGCGGGUUUACAAGUCAGAUGUGAAAAUCCGGGGCUCAACCCCGGAAUUGCAACUGAAACUGUAUAUCUUGAGUGUUGGAGAGGGAAGUGGAAUUCCUAGUGUAGCGGUGAAAUGCGUAGAGAUUAGGAGGAACACCAGUGGCGAAGGCGACUUUCUGGCCAACAACUGACGCUGAGGCGCGAAAGCGUGGGGAGCAAAC
rnacentral:rRNA from 1 species